GAUGAACGUAGCGAAAUGCGAUAAGUAGUGUGAAUUGCAGAAUUCAGUGAAUCAUCGAAUCUUUGAACGCACAUUGCGCCCCUUGGUAUUCCAUGGGGCAUGCCUGUUCGAGCGUCAUUUGUACCCUCAAGCUAAGCUUGGUGUUGGGUGUUUGUCCACUCCCUCGUGUUUGGACUCGCCUUAAAACAAUUGGCAGCCAGUGUUUUGGUAUUGAAGCGCAGCACAAUUUGCGAUUCUAGCCUAGAAUACUAGCAUCCAUCAAGUCAUUUUUAACGCUUGACCUCGGAUCAGGUAGGGAUACCCGCUGAACUUAAGCAUAUCAAUAAGCGGAGGA
rnacentral:misc_RNA from 1 species